rnacentral:rRNA from 1 species
GCGGCGGACGGGUGAGUAACGCGUGGGUAACCUACCCUGUACACACGGAUAACAUACCGAAAGGUAUGCUAAUACGGGAUAAUAUAUUUGAGAGGCAUCUCUUGAAUAUCAAAGGUGAGCCAGUACAGGAUGGACCCGCGUCUGAUUAGCUAGUUGGUAAGGUAACGGCUUACCAAGGCGACGAUCAGUAGCCGACCUGAGAGGGUGAUCGGCCACAUUGGAACUGAGACACGGUCCAAACUCCUACGGGAGGCAGCAGUGGGGAAUAUUGCACAAUGGGCGAAAGCCUGAUGCAGCAACGCCGCGUGAGUGAUGAAGGCCUUCGGGUCGUAAAACUCUGUCCUCAAGGAAGAUAAUGACGGUACUUGAGGAGGAAGCCCCGGCUAACUACGUGCCAGCAGCCGCGGUAAUACGUAGGGGGCUAGCGUUAUCCGGAUUUACUGGGCGUAAAGGGUGCGUAGGCGGUCUUUCAAGUCAGGAGUGAAAGGCUACGGCUCAACCGUAGUAAGCUCUUGAAACUGGGAGACUUGAGUGCAGGAGAGGAGAGUGGAAUUCCUAGUGUAGCGGUGAAAUGCGUAGAUAUUAGGAGGAACACCAGUUGCGAAGGCGGCUCUCUGGACUGUAACUGACGCUGAGGCACGAAAGCGUGGGGAGCAAACAGGAUUAGAUACCCUGGUAGUCCACGCUGUAAACGAUGAGUACUAGGUGUCGGGGGUUACCCCCUUCGGUGCCGCAGCUAACGCAUUAAGUACUCCGC